UUCGAAUUUGGAUUUAAAUUUUUAAGGCCAAAAACCCUAACCCAAAAUCUUUGUGAUUUUGGACCGUAAUAUCCUUAACCAUGUGUUUUCUUAUGAAAACACAUGGUUGGGGAUGUUACGUGUCAAAAAUUCUGAAAGAUUCGGACGUCGAUGGUUGACCGGCGUUUCUCUUGGCAUCAGUGAGUUUUCGUUUUCCUCUCUUCUGUUUGCUUCUAUUCUAAUACUUGCUAAUGUCCAAGUUUUUGUCAACUAUGUCUGGAUUCCAUGUUUUGAUUUAUGGCUUGAUUCUAAUUUAUUUUGUUCUUGAUUUUAGUUUGAUUGGCAUAUUAGAAUUUACUCUUUUUCGAUUCAAGAAGUUAGUUUAGGUUUUGAUUAGUUUAAGUUUAAUCAGGAUAAUUGUUCUUCACUUUAGUUUGCUAAUGGUAAGUCAGUGUUAAUGUGUUUUGUUGAUAAUUGGUCAUUGGUUAAUCGGGCUUUGAUUGUUGGAUUUAGAAUUCGAUUUGGGUUGAUUUCAGUAUUACCAUCUUGUAAAUUAUUCAUGUGUUACUUGGUAAGUUGUUUGGUUGUAACUGAAGGGUUUUGGGUCAGGUAGUAAUUUUAGGAGAUACUAAGGGUAGUCUGGGGAAUGAACAAGGGGAAUAAAUUCAGAACUAGGGGAAAUCACAUGUGAGGGUAGUCUAGGUCUUAUUUGGGGAAGGGUAGGUGAUAGAAGCUUCUAGCAUUUUAUUUACCUAUAAAUAGGCAUUGAAUUGCCUUGAGAGAGGGUCUUCUUUUUCAGCCAUUAUUAGCUCCCAAAAACACUGGCCAUUAUAGAUUUCAGAUCUGAAGUAGCUUUCUAAUUCAAAAACCAAAAUACAAAACCAAAAAGUUCAAAAAAAAAACUAAAAAAUGUUACUGUUCCAUUAGGCAUUGAGUGACUUUCAAUUCUCAGCUUUCGAUUUACCACUUCCUAGUUCAGAUUUUGGUUGUCAUGACUUAGCAGUCUCCUGGAUCCAUUUCUGUUGGUUUUUGAGUUCAUUUGAAUCAGUUUGGGCCCUUCAGUUGAUGCAGUAGUUGAGUAGUGUGUUACUUAGUGUUUGGUGAAGCUAUUUUGUAUUAAAUCACACCUGUUUGGUUGUUGCUGUUUGAGAUUAGUUUCUGGUGUUUAAUUCUCCCUAAGCUGCUGAAUAUUGUUCUUGGAUACUGCUGUUGUUUCACCUGCUUCUGCUAACUCCUUCUUCUUUCGCUGUAAUUCGAAAACCAGGUACAUAUCCUGAAGUUUGACACCAUGUAUCUUCAUUUCACUGGAAAUAUGAAUCAGGAUUGAAGUGAACUAUCUGCUGUGGAGUUGCAAUUUAAGUGUGAUGUGAUUUUGGCAUUAAUGCUUAAUAUAUGUAGUUCAUCUGUUUCAUUAUAAUUAUAUCCUUUGGUUAAAACUGGUUAUGCAUGUCUGGUAGUCGAGUCAUGUAGCUAAACAGAUGCUCAUUGGACUGUUAAACUCAGUGACUUCAUUGUAGGUAGAUUACUUGUUUAGAUUGGUUUGGUACACACGUUUGAUAAUUGAUUCUUAUAGCUAGAUUUGAGUUAUUGGUACUGUUAAAUAUGGGUUGUGCAAAUCCAAAUAUCUCCUGCUAUUUGUAUUCAAAAUUGAGCUCAUAAAUCG
rnacentral:lncRNA from 1 species